AUUGAACGCUGGCGGCAGGCCUAACACAUGCAAGUCGAGCGGAUGAAGGGAGCUUGCUCCUGGAUUCAGCGGCGGACGGGUGAGUAAUGCCUAGGAAUCUGCCUGGUAGUGGGGGAUAACGUCCGGAAACGGGCGCUAAUACCGCAUACGUCCUGCGGGAGAAAGUGGGGGAUCUUCGGACCUCACGCUAUCAGAUGAGCCUAGGUCGGAUUAGCUAGUUGGUGGGGUAAAGGCCUACCAAGGCGACGAUCCGUAACUGGUCUGAGAGGAUGAUCAGUCACACUGGAACUGGGACACGGUCCAGACUCCUACGGGAGGCAGCAGUGGGGAAUAUUGGACAAUGGGCGAAAGCCUGAUCCAGCCAUGGCGCGUGUGUGAAGAAGGUCUUCGGAGUGUAAAGCACUUUAAGUUGGGAGGAAGGGCAGUAAGUUAAUACCUUGCUGUUUUGACGGUACCAACAGAAGAAGCACCGGCUAACUUCGUG
rnacentral:rRNA from 1 species